GGUAGCCAUGUGAGUCGAUCAGCAAAAACAACUACAGAACAUGGAGUAGAGUAGGGCUGGGCAGAAAUACCAGAAAACAAGGGAAAAGAUUCAGAGAUCAAACUGGACGCUACAUGCAUGACUGAUCUGUGUUGAUGACUGCUCCUUAAACAAAAAAACAGGGAAUUAAUAAUCUCGUGUGGCUUGAAGUGCAAUGACAGAGUACUCUGGAUAUGCAUCAUUUACUACUAUACAUAGGAAAGAUUGCUUCCAGAUACUGCUUGCUGCCUCCACAUAUCUGAUCAAAAACAACUGACAUGAAAAAAACCCAAAGCUGUUUAACCAAAAAAGGAUGGAGGUAGUGGGAGAGAAAUCAGGUAUGUAAAAAGAGCUACAUUAGAAAAAGAUUCACCAUUUAAAU
rnacentral:lncRNA from 1 species